GAAAUUUUAUUUUUGACUAAAUCUAAAAACAUUUGCAUAAACAUAAACUGCGGGAAAAAAAACGUGUGGACGGUGAAGGAUAUUCAUGAUUCAUAUUCCGCCACCUUUUACUUAAUCUACUUUUCAUUUUUGAUGCAUAAGUGCAGUUUCUCUCUCUUUAUAUAUUUAAUACCAAUUCUAAGCCAUCUAACAUUAAAACCGACACGACCACUAAUAUUUCACUGUUUCACUUUCUUCCUUCCUCAAAUCCUCAAACAUAGUAAACAAAAAACCUCAGAAGAAGGAAGAAAAAAACCUCAAAGAAACCAUUGA